AUGUGGGGAAACCGAGGCCCAGAAAGGGCCAGGAAUUCGUGUCAGACCGCACAGCAAGGAACUGGGCCCUGGGUCCUUCUGCCAACCCAGGACACUGGGGUUCCGAUGACAAGCAUUCGAGGCCUCGUGCCCCGGGGCCAAGGGGCUGGGCGGGGACCAGGCAGGAUGAGUGUCACAGCCCGGACACAUCGUCAAUACCGUCCUCCGCAAACAGUUGUCACAAAGAAGGUCGGCUUGGCAGAAGCGAUUGCUGACGACUGGCGAGAGCGGUCCCGGAGCCUCCUCUGGACUAGCCCCUCGCCCGAGGGAGCCCUCCCCGAGGUGACCGCAGGCUGGUCACUGAGGCCGUCCCAGUAUCAGCCUCCUCAUCUGGAGAAUGGGGAUGACCCCCACCUCUCGAAUCAAGUGACACGUGGACGAACCAGAAAUUGAAAUCCACACACCCCGCGUGCAUGCACCCCACUGUCAGAGGGACCCUGGGCCAGCCGCCAUGCCACUCGCUGCCUCAGUUUCCUUCUCGGAAAUGGGUGGAGAUCCAGGCUUCUCUCCUCACGCUUCUGGAGGCUGGGAGUCUGAGAUCCAGGCUGGUUCCCCAGAGGCCUCUCUGCCUGGCGUGUUGACGGCCAUCACUCCCCGUGUCCUCACAUGGCCGGCCCUCUGCAUGUCUGUGUCCUACUCUCCUUACAAGGACAUUUGUUGCACUGGAUCGGGACUCACCCACGUGACCUCAUUAUCACCUCCGUAAAGUCCCCAUCUCC
rnacentral:lncRNA from 1 species